rnacentral:rRNA from 1 species
GAUGAACGCUGGCGGCGUGCCUAAUACAAGCAAGUCGAACGCACGGACGCGGCUCUUGCUUCUCUGAUGUUAGCGACGGAUGGGUGAGUCACACGUAGCUAGCCUACCUCUAUGGCUUAGAUAACGUCGAGGAACCGGAGCUAAUACCGGUUAAUAUUUUGAACCGCAUGGUUCAUGAGUGGGAGACGGUCUUGCUGUCACUUAUAGGUGGAUCCGCGCUGCAUUAGCUAGUUGGUAAGGUAACGGCUUACCAAGGCAACGAUGCAUAGCCGACCUGAGCGCGUGAUCGGCGACACGUGAACUGAGACACGGGCCACACUCCUGCGGGAGGCAGCAGUAGGGAGUCUGCAGCAAUGGGCGAAAGCCGGACGGAUCAACGCCGCGUGAGUGAUGAAGGUCUUCGGAUCGUAAAACUCUGUUAUUAUGGAAGAACAGUCGUGUAAGUAACUGUGCACAUCUUGACGGUACCUGAUCAAAAAGCCACGGCUAACUACGUG